rnacentral:rRNA from 1 species
AUUGAACGCUGGCGGAAUGCUUUACACAUGCAAGUCGAACGGCAGCACGGACUUCGGUCUGGUGGCGAGUGGCGAACGGGUGAGUAAUACAUCGGAACGUGCCCAGUCGUGGGGGAUAACGUAUCGAAAGUUACGCUAAUACCGCAUACAAUCUACGGAUGAAAGCGGGGGACCGUAAGGCCUCGCGCGAUUGGAGCGGCCGAUGUUAGAUUAGGUAGUUGGUGGGGUAAAGGCUCACCAAGCCGACAAUCUAUAGCUGGUCUGAGAGGAUGAUCACCCACACUGGGACUGAGACACGGCCCACACUCCUACGGGAGGCAGCAGUGGGGAAUUUUGGACAAUGGGCGCAAGCCUGAUCCACCCAUUCCGCGUGCAGGACGAAAGCCUUCGGGUUGUAAACUGCUUUUGUACAGAACGAAAAGCUCUGGGUUAAUACCCUGGGGUCAUGACAGUACUGUGAGAAUAAACACCGGCUAACUACGUG